GAUGAACGCUGGCGGCGUGCCUAAUACAUGCAAGUCGAGCGAACAGAUGAGAAGCUUGCUCCUCUGAUGUUAGCGGCGGACGGGUGAGUAACACGUGGGUAACCUACCCAUAAGGCUGGGAUAACUCCGGGAAACCGGGGCUAAUACCGGAUAAUAUUUUGAACCGCAUGGUUCGAUAGUGAAAGACGGUUUCGGCUGUCACUUAUAGAUGGACCCGCGCCGUAUUAGCUAGUUGGUAAGGUAACGGCUUACCAAGGCGACGAUACGUAGCCGACCUGAGAGGGUGAUCGGCCACACUGGAACUGAGACACGGUCCAGACUCCUACGGGAGGCAGCAGUAGGGAAUCUUCCGCAAUGGGCGAAAGCCUGACGGAGCAACGCCGCGUGAGUGAUGAAGGUCUUCGGAUCGUAAAACUCUGUUGUUAGGGAAGAACAAAUUUGUUAGUAACUGUGCACAUCUUGACGGUACCUAAUCAGAAAGCCACGGCUAACUACGUGCCAGCCGCCGCCGUAA
rnacentral:rRNA from 1 species